rnacentral:rRNA from 1 species
UGGGAUGACGUCAAAUCAUCAUGCCCCUUAUGACCUGGGCUACACACGUGCUACAAUGGUUGGUACAGACGGACGCAAAGCCGCGAGGUGGAGCAAAUCCCUAAAGUCGUCCUCAGUUCGGAUUGCAGGCUGCAACUCGCCUGCAUGAAGUCGGAAUCGCUAGUAAUCGCGGAUCAGCUACGCCGCGGUGAAUACGUUCUCGGGCCUU